AUAAAAAGAAAUUCCUUGCGAUCCUCUCUCGGAUGAUGGAUGCUGCGCUGUUAUCGGAAACGAUAUUUAAUUUCGAUCGUUAAAAAAUUCCGCUAGAUUCUAUGAUUCGUCUUCAACUUAUAUAUCCCAAGUUGUACGAUCUAUUGUUUAUCGGCUUAUAGUCGUUAAUAAAACUUGGUUGGUUCCGUUUCGCGUGUACUCUCGUUUCGCAAUAUAAUAAUAUAAGUAUCUCUCUCUCUCUCUCUCUCUCCCUCCCUCGUCCUCCCUUAUUAUUCUCUCUUCUUCUCUUUUUCUUCUUUUUUUUUCUUCGCAAUAAUAACCGCUCGCAAGAUAACACGCACUACUACGUUUGUCAAAUACAUCUAACUUUAUAUUUACGGUAGUAAUAAUAAUAAUAAUAAAAAUAAAAAUAAAAAUAAUAAUAAUAAUAAUAAAAAUAAUAAUAAUAAUAACAACAACAAUAAUAAUGACAAUAAUAAUAAUAAUAAUAAUAAUAAUAAUAAUAAUAAUAAUCUCAUAAAUAAUACACGUAGGCGGUAUAAUAUGUUAUUACGCACGGUCUGUCAGGUCGGCGAACUCGAAUAGGACAGGAAUUAGGAUGAAAUUCGAGUGGAUCCUCGAAACGUACGUGGAUCCGCGCUCCUGACACCGAGUUCACAUUAAUUAUAUUACGUUAUUAUCAUACGUAAGUACACGUAAUAUCUAGGAAUAGUACGGAUCUUAAUCUGUUUUUUAGGCCUCUACUCGACUACUCUACGCUCCUCCUCGUUCCGUAUUUUUUUCUUUUUCUUUUUUUUUUUUUUUUUUUUCUUUUUUUCUUCUUCUCUUUGGUCGUGUCACAUUUGUCCCUUAUCUUCCCACCAUGUGCGCCAUGUUCCUGUGAACAUUCGUGUUCAACAAAAUGGGGGAAAGGGAGGAAGGCGAGAAAUCUGGAUUACAAAAUGGCUCUUUCGUCACGGAGGAAAGGGAAGAAAUUGGACGAUGAAAUCGUCCCAAUUUCGUUCUUCGGUUUUCUCGUUUUCUCGGCUAUACAUUUCCUUCUCCGAUCGCUUAAGUAUACUUGGGUUCUUCGGGGAUCGGUU